rnacentral:rRNA from 1 species
CAGCUGUAAACGAUGCGCGUUAGGUGUAUCGGUGACCACGAGUCACCGAGGUGCCGAAGAGAAAUCGUGAAACGUGCCGCCUGGGAAGUACGGUCGCAAGGCUGAAACUUAAAGGAAUUGGCGGGGGAGCACCACAACAGGUGGAGCCUGCGGUUUAAUCGGACUCAACGCCGGGAAGCUCACCGGAUAAGACAGCUGAAUGAUAGCCGGGUUGGAAGACUCUGCUUGACUAGCUGAGAGGUGGUGCAUGGCGUGUGACUGU